rnacentral:rRNA from 1 species
UUCUCGAAUUUAAAAGAGCUAAAAAUUUUAUUGUAAUAAACAUUUAUAAUAUGAAAUGAAAUGUUAAUAUAUCUAGUUAUUCAAGAAAAUUUAAUUUUGUUAUUUUUGGGGGGAUAAGCUUUUUAUAGGAUUAGUAGUGUUGUUAUAAUUAAUUUAUUGAAUUAAAAAUUUAAAUUGUUUUUGAGAAUAUGAUAAAAUUAGUAGAAGGUAAAUUAAAGGAAUUCGGCAAAAAUUUUUCACCUGUUUAUUAAAAACAUGGCUUUUUGUAUAUAAUUUAAAGUCUGGCCUGCCCACUGAGGCCGCGGUAACUUGACCGUGCUAAGGUAGCAUAAUCAUUAGUUUUUUAAUUGAAAGCUGGUAUGAAUGGUUUGAUGAAAAAAUAACUGUCUCUGAUUUAUUGAAUUUUAUAUUUAAGUAAAAAAGCUUAAAUUUUUUUAAAAGACGAGAAGACCCUAUAGAGUUUUAUUUUGAUUGGGGUGAUUGAAAAAUUUAGUAAACUUUUGAUUAUAAGAUUAAAUUACCUUAGGGAUAACAGCGUAAUUUUUUUUAGAGUUCAAAUCGAAAAAAAAGAUUGCGACCUCGA